rnacentral:rRNA from 1 species
AACGAACGCUGGCGGCGUGCUUAACACAUGCAAGUCGAACGCGAACGGGACUUCGGUUCCUAGUAGAGUGGCGCACGGGUGAGUAACGCGUAGAUAACCUGUCUUCAUAUCCGGAAUAACACGCCGAAAGGGGUACUAAUACCGGAUAUCCUUGCAUUUCACAGGUAAGGCAAGGAAAGGUGGCCUCUGAUUCAAGCUACUGUAUGAAGAGGGGUCUGCGUACCAUUAGCUAGUAGGUGGGGUAAUGGCCUACCUAGGCGACGAUGGUUAGCGGGUCUGAGAGGAUGAUCCGCCACACUGGCACUGGAAUACGGGCCAGACUCCUACGGGAGGCAGCAGUGAGGAAUAUUGCGCAAUGGGGGCAACCCUGACGCAGCGACGCCGCGUGAGUGAGGAAGGUCUUCGGAUCGUAAAGCUCUGUCAAGAGGGAAGAAGUGCAAGGCAGCGAAUAACUGUUUUGUUUGACGGUACCUCUAAAGGAAGCACCGCUAA